CAACAGCAACCACAACAGUACCAGCAGCAACCACAACAGUACCAACAGCCGUACCAGGCUCGCGAAGUGCCUUACCCUCGUCGUCCGCUUGGUGUCAUCUCCGGCACGGGUGGUCGCCCGACCUUGCAGGCAAGGAGGGACAGCAAGCUGGGACAGCUGGCUGCGUCCCUGCGUCUGCAACGAGGCACCAGCGACGGGGACUGACAGACAGACAGGCGCCGAUUACAGAAGAUUUAACGAUGCCGAUUAUCGGAGAUUUAUUGGUGCAGAUUAUUGCAGAUUUUGACGGCGCUGAUUGAAGAUGAUUUGUCUGCUUUCAAUACAGAGGAUUCGUCAGGGCUGAUUGCAGGAGAUUUAUUGGUGCAGAUUAUUGCAGAUUUUGACAGCGCUGAUUGAAGAUGAUUUGUCUGCUCUGAUUAUAGAGGAUUUGUCGGUGUAGAUAUGAUCGGGGAUUUGCCUGCGCUGAUUACAGGAGAAUUAUUGUCGCUGAUUAUUGCAGAUUUUCACCUCGAUGAUUAAAUAUGAUUUGUCUGCUGUCAUUAUGGUGGAUUUGUCAGCGCUGAUUGCAGGAGAAUUGUUGACGCUGAGUUUUGUAACUUCGACGGCGCUGGUUACAGGAGAUUUUUUGGCGCUGAUCAGCGAAGAUUUUUCGGCGCUGAUCAUUGCAAAUUUGUCGGUGUUGGUUACAGAAGAUUUUUCGGCGCUGAUCAACGAAGAUUUUUCGGUGCUGUUUAUUGCAAAUUUGUCGGUGUUGGUUACAGGAGAUUCGGCUGCGCUCAUUAUUGAAGAUUUGCUGGCGUUGGUAAUCGAAUAUUAAGCAGCGCCCACAACUGGUGAUUUUUUCUGGCUGAUUAGCAUAGUUCUUUCUGCCCUUCUUAGCAAGGAUUUAUUUGAGCUGACUAUUAAGAUACAAACGGUGCGGAUUAAUGAAAAUUCAUCAGAGUCAAUUAUCGAAGGUUCACAGGCGCUGACUCCUGAAGAUUUAUCGAUACUGAGUACCGAAUUUUUAAAAGAAGUAAUUUACACACAAUAACAUGACGGGCAACAAACUUAAUGUACCGCAAGAAUAGCACGUGACAAGAUGGUUCAGUCGGGCGACGUUCUUAAGGCUGACACUGAACCGCAAACAAAAGGCUGAGACUGAACCGCAAACGGGCGAAUAGAUCUCCAUGUCAAUGGAAAUGUUUUCGUCUGAAUAUCGUUAUAAAAUUAGUUUCUAGUGAUAGAAAGAAAAUAAACAUGGCCAAUAUAUGGAACAGCAUAUACAAUUUUGGCAGAAGAUCGUACUGUAACUUUUGAUUCUUGCACCUCAGAAAACCAUGUAGACCUGAUCCAGUCGUGGAACUGAACAGCAAAGUCUCAAUUUCGAAAACCAAUCCGAUGUUAUUUGCUUGAGGUAUUGGUCAACAUUUCUGCUCGUCUCGCCAUCAUUUUCGGCCAUCACUCAUCACUGCCAAUUUUUUACUGCAAUACCUUCACUGCAAAUCUCUUCACUGCCCGACUCUUCACUACCAAUACAUUCACUGCCAAUUUCUUCACUGUCCGAAUCUUCACUACCAAUACCUUCACUGCCAAACUCUUCACUGCUCAUGAAACUCUUCAAUAUUCACCGUUGCAUUCAAAUUUUCUGUCUAUUUGGUAUAUUUAACCCAAAAUAUCCCCUGAUUUACCCUGGAUAUAAAAGAAUUUCUCUCAGCGAGUGGUUAGCAUAUUGUGUCGUAAAGAAUGUACAAAUGUAAGAAUUAUGCAGUGUACAGAGCAGCUGUCUGCAUGCUGCUGUUACUGAGCAGAAUUGUCGGCUUUGGUCUUCGUUCCAUAUUAAUAUCUAAUAUUUCUUAUCUGUUCUCAUUAACUGGUGACUGAAUUCUAUAUGGUCAGCUGUCGUCCUUAUCCGAUGUAUUCAACUAAUUAUUUUGUCCCAUACAUAGGAGGUGAUACAUAUAAAUAUAUAUAUGUCACCCGAUAAAGACAGGAGUUGUUUCUAUCAGUUAUCGCAGGCUGGUGUGCUUAUCCUUUUAAUCAGAUCUUGUCCUUGUCUCUACAUCUAUUACUCCUAGGACAAUACUAUAAUUAUCCUACUUUAAAUAUUAUUCCCAACAAUCACACGUACAUAAAAAUAAAUCAAUCUCAUAUGUCGGAAUACCUGACCGUGUUAAUUUGUGCUCCAUUAUUUAGUGCUGUUUAUUUGAGCGUUAGUUCUAUUAUAAUGUGCACAUUGACGAUUAGUUAAUGUUGAUUAGUUAAGCGUAUCACUAACUACUCACAACUAGUAGUGAAGUGCAUGUGCUAGUGAAAUGAAAGACGUCAGCGAUCGUCCGUAUCAGCAGCGCUGACCAGGGCGGAAUCGAAGACGUAGGUUAUUAUUAGUGUUGGUUGUUAGUUAUAAUUAAUUGGGGAUAACUGGUUAUUGAUUCAACCGUAUUAUUAAAUAUAAUGCAAGUAAUUAUAGAACAUUGAAUAUUCAUGUUUACUUCCUGUAUGACUUUAUAAAUAAGACCUUAAAGUCUGUGUUAAAAGACACACUGCACCGAUCGCGCUACACCGAACACGCGCUACAGCGCUACAUCAAACACGCGCUACAGCGCUACACCAAACAUCAAACACACGCUACAGCGCUACACCAAACACACGCUACAGCGCUACACCAAACACACGCUACAGCGCUACAUCAAACACG